AGUCGCUGAUGAUAUUACAUGUAAGAGUAGUGGACAGAAGAGAUUUCUGAGCAAUUUCGUACUGAGACU